CAGUGACCAAACUCAAAAUCCAUCACAAUAUAUAUACAGUAACAUAACAGAGGCCUGGAGUGGACUGGAAAAGAAGUCAAUGCUGAUAUAUAUUUCACAUGAAAACUAAACAUAUGUAGCAGUAUGUGUCACUUAAAGUACAUGAUGCACAACUGCCAUCAUGGGCAGCAUGUUUGCAGCUCCUUCCUAUCUAGCCUGCAGAAUGCAUUAGACCAUGCUUCCUUGAUUGCAUGAUAACCUGGAGGAACUCCCUUGAUCUUGAUCUACAUGUGUGAUGGGAUGGGCCUCCUACAAAAAUGUAGCAAUUUGUCAACAUAGAACCUCAUGAUUUCUUAAAAUCCAAGUUAUCUAUAUACAGCCAUAGACUGUAUUUAAAGUGUACAGCUUUAGAGCAGCCAGUAUGUGAGGGUAUGUGUAUGUGGUGCUAAUUCUAACCCUAUAUACCUCAUAUACCUUCAAAUCAAGGCCUAAAAACUGCUUCUGUGAGGACUAGGCAUUUAUUAGCAAUAGUAGACGGUGGGCCUUCCUCACUGACAUAUGCUACUUCAUCCACUCCCCUUAGUCAUGUUUUAAUAAACAAGCAAUCAGGCUAAUUUAGCCCAGGUCUCACUAUGAACCAGCGCCACCAUGUGGUGUUAGACUGAAGAAGACCCUGUACAAUUAGAACAUCCCAGUCGACUGCUGUUGACCUCACCCUUUUAAACUAGAAUAAUCGUUUGAGCCACACAUGUCACUGUUAUUCAGUCCCAUUUAUAUGGUAUUUAAGAAGACUUUAAGCAUUGAUCGAAUAGCCUAAAUACAGAGAAGAACUAACGUUCGUUAAAUACAGAGACAUAACGGCAAUAUCCACAGGCCCGUUGGACAAGGCUAGCUAGCUACCCAGGUUUAGGUGGACUGUCCUAUAAAUUUGUUACGCCUAAAACAAACCCAAACAAUGGUUGAUAUAUCCCAGUUACCGCAUCCGGUGUGUUUUUGUCCUGCUUGGAGGAUCUUUAGGAGUGCUGAUUGCCACUGCCCAGGACGGCCUGACCCUGCUCACAUCUCCCCUACUACCACUCUGUACUACUAGUUCCUCAGUUCUUUGUAAAUAAACUCUUUACUUUACUGGCCUUGAGUGUUCUGUAUCCGCACCCUGGUCCUCAGUCUUACAAAACUUACAAAACGAUGGUCUCAUGGUCAAAAAUACUGCAUUGACUUUUCAAUCAUGUUUCCCGGUCAACUAUAAAUCAAUGGCUUUUCAAUCAUGUAAUUUCUGGUCAACCAUAAAUAGAUGAUUUUUAAACGUUGUUGUCAACUACAAAUCAAUGCUUAAUAAAGUAUAAUCGGGACAACUAUAAA